UGGGGAAUAUUGCACAAUGGGCGCAAGCCUGAUGCAGCCAUGCCGCGUGUAUGAAGAAGGCCUUCGGGUUGUAAAGUACUUUCAGCGGGGAGGAAGGCGAUAAGGUUAAUAACCUUGUCGAUUGACGUUACCCGCAGAAGAAGCACCGGCUAACUCCGUGCCAGCAGCCGCGGUAACACGGAGGGUGCAAGCGUUAAUCGGAAUUACUGGGCGUAAAGCGCACGCAGGCGGUCUGUCAAGUCGGAUGUGAAAUCCCCGGGCUCAACCUGGGAACUGCAUUCGAAACUGGCAGGCUAGAGUCUUGUAGAGGGGGGUAGAAUUCCAGGUGUAGCGGUGAAAUGCGUAGAGAUCUGGAGGAAUACCGGUGGCGAAGGCGGCCCCCUGGACAAAGACUGACGCUCAGGUGCGAAAGCGUGGGGAGCAAACA
rnacentral:rRNA from 1 species